rnacentral:lncRNA from 1 species
UAUGCAAGGAAGCACUGAAAAGACUUGACUGUAUUAUUUAAGAGUACUCAGAAGAGGCGUGGUAUAUACAAUUGAAAACAAGGCUAAAUGCUUGCACAAGUCUUUCUGCAGAGACUGCAAAUGCUGCCUUUUGCUUUUCAGAGCAAAGGCUCCUUGAUACAGACCACUAACCAGACACCUAGUCCAAAAUGGUACCUGAUAGCUCUAUUUCGGCCAGAGGUUUUCCAACCUGCAGCCACUGCCCUUGGAUCCAGUUAAUUCCAUCACUGCGAAUCCCUGGAGACUGAAUCGAAAGACUGGCCUGUCGGUGGAUCCUAUUAGUCAUCGUUCUGCCUGCCACUUACCAUGUAAACUUUCUAACCCAAGGAACAAGAAUUUGGGCUUUGACCUGAACGAUACUUCUCUGGAGCUUCCCCAGUGACCCUGAAAUUCCCAAAUGUUGUCCCAUGUUCACUGAGGACUCCAGGAAACUAGAGCGGGUCCUGCGAUGUGCAUUCCUCUUUCUACAAGCUCUAUAUAUGGCAGUCACUUGGAGAAGACUCCCUGCGAAGCUCAUAGUGCCUUAAUCAAGAAGUAAGCUCAGGUUUACUCUAUUCUCAGAUGCCCAAAUAGAAAAAAAAAUAAUAAACCCAAAAUAUGUCAAUUCUCUUCCCACUCUUUCAAUUCCAAACCUUUUUUGUUCCUAGUUCAUUUUAGGAAGUAUUUUCCAGUCUGAGAGAGCGAGGAGGGAAUAGAAACUCCUCUAGAAGGAGAUAAAAUGGUCCGCUGGAACUCUCUUCUUGGACUUAGGCCUGUAGCUUUUAAGCUUGGAAGAUUGAGAACUUGUCUUCCUUUUCAAGUGUACAUCUGAUAACUUCCCCAAAUCUCCCACCCAACUGAGGUAUAGUCACGCAAAGAAGAAAAGAAGAUGCAUAUUGUUGUCUCAAGUUUAUUACCCCAACACAGAUCCACACUGAGGUGAAUGUUUCUUAAAGCACUCAUAUUAGUUAUUAGUCUUACUUGAACCAUAUCAGGUUGUUCUAAUUCCUAAGCAAUUU